AGAACGAACGCUGGCGGCAUGCCUAACACAUGCAAGUCGAACGAGACCUUCGGGUCUAGUGGCGCACGGGUGCGUAACGCGUGGGAAUCUGCCCUUGGGUUCGGGAUAACAGUUGGAAACGACUGCUAAUACCGGAUGAUGACUUCGGUCCAAAGAUUUAUUGCCCAGGGAUGAGCCCGCGUAGGAUUAGCUAGUUGGUGAGGUAAAGGCUCACCAAGGCGACGAUCCUUAGCUGGUCUGAGAGGAUGAUCAGCCACACGUGGGACUGAGACACGGCCCAGACCUCCGUACGGGGAGGCAGCAGGUGGGGAAUAGUUGG
rnacentral:rRNA from 1 species